rnacentral:rRNA from 1 species
CCUACGGGAGGCAGCAGUGAGGAAUAUUGGUCAAUGGCCGAGAGGCUGAACCAGCCAAGUCGCGUGAGGGAAGACGGCCCUACGGGUUGUAAACCUCUUUUGUCGGGGAGCAAAGAGAGUCACGUGUGACUCAUUGAGAGUACCCGAAGAAAAAGCAUCGGCUAACUCCGUGCCAGCAGCCGCGGUAAUACGGAGGAUGCGAGCGUUAUCCGGAUUUAUUGGGUUUAAAGGGUGCGCAGGCGGAGGUGCAAGUCAGCGGUCAAAUUGCGGGGCUCAACCCCGUACUGCCGUUGAAACUGCAUCCCUUGAGUGCGGGUGAGGGAGGCGGAAUGCGUGGUGUAGCGGUGAAAUGCAUAGAUAUCACGCAGAACUCCGAUUGCGAAGGCAGCAUAC